ACGGAGGGUGCAAGCGUUAUCCGGAAUUAUUGGGCGUAAAGAGCUCGUGGGCGGUCUGUCACGUCUGCUGUGAAAACUCGGGGCUUAACCCCGGGCCUGCAGUGGGUACGGGCAGACUAGAGUGUGGUAGGGGAGACUGGAAUUCCUGGUGUAGCGGUGAAAUGCGUAGAUAUGUGGAGGAACACCGAUGGCGAAGGCAGCCCCCUGGGCCUGUACUGACGCUCAUGCACGAAAGCGUGGGGAGCAAACAGGA
rnacentral:rRNA from 1 species